rnacentral:rRNA from 1 species
CCUACGGGCGGCAGCAGUGAGGAAUAUUGGUCAAUGGGCGGGAGCCUGAACCAGCCAUGCCGCGUGAAGGUGAGUGCCCUACGGGCGUUAAACUUCUUUUGUGCGGGAGCAAUAAGGGCCACGUGUGGCCCGAUGAGAGUACCGCACGAAUAAGCAUCGGCUAACUCCGUGCCAGCAGCCGCGGUAAUACGUAGGGGGCAAGCGUUAUCCGGAUUUACUGGGGGUAAAGGGAGCGUAGACGGUUAUGUAAGUCUGGAGUGAAAGCCCGGGGGCCAACCCCGGGACUGCUUUGGAAACUGUGUAACUGGAGUACAGGAGGGGCAGGCGGAAUUCCUGGUGUAGCGGUGAAAUGCGUAGAUAUCAGGAGGAACACCGGCGGCGAAGGCGGCCUGCUGGACUGAAACUGACGUUGAGGCUCGAAAGCGUGGGGAGCAAACAGGAUUAGAUACCCUGGUAGUC